UUCGUAGGCGGGUCAAUAAGUCAGAGGUGAAAUCUUGCAGCUUAACUGUAAAAUUGCCUUUGAUACUGUUGACCUUGAAUUAUUGUGAAGUGGUUAGAAUAUGUAGUGUAGCGGUGAAAUGCUUAGAGAUUACAUAGAAUACCGAUUGCGAAGGCAGAUCACUAACAAUAUAUUGACGCUGAUGAACGAAAGCGUGGGUAGCGAACAGGAUUAGAUACCCUGGUAGUCC
rnacentral:rRNA from 1 species